UGUGUCCUACGGGGGGCAGCAGUGGGGGAUAUUGCACAAUGGGGGAAACCCUGAUGCAGCGACACCGCGUGGGUGAAGAAGCGCUUCGGCGUGUAAAGCCCUAUCAGUGGGGAAGAAAAAGGACGGUACCCAAAGAAGAAGCAUCGGCUAACUCCGUGCCAGCAGCCGCGGUAAUACGGAGGAUGCGAGCGUUAUCCGGAUUUAUUGGGUUUAAAGGGUGCGCAGGCGGUCUGUUAAGUCAGCGGUCAAAGCCCGGGGCUCGACCCCGGCCCGCCGUUGAAACUGGCAGUCUCGAGUUGGAGGGG
rnacentral:rRNA from 1 species